AGACAUGAGACUGUAUUACGAAGCAGCAUGUCUGUGUUGGAUAAAAGAAUGGGUAAAGCUGGAGAAUAAAGAACUACUAGAUUUGGAAGGGCACAAUAAUAGAUUUGGGUGGCAUGCGUAUCUAUGGAGGGAUAAAAAGAGAGUGCAUAAAGAAUUUUGUAGCCACAUCUUUAAAGGUCCACUAAUAGAGGUCUGGGACAGAUAUAAAAAUAUAUUAGAACCGAAAACCCCACAUUGGCUAUCCCCGUUGGAGAUAAUAAGUGUAAAGAAAGUUAAUAUGAGAGAAAAGUGGGGAAAGUAUGGAGAAAUGGUUACUAAUGAAGGAGGGAAGUGGAAAGUAAAAUCAUACGAUCAGGUUAAAGUAUUUACAUAUGACUGGCUGCACUAUUUUCAGAUAAAUGAAAUGUUUAAAGAAGAGGUGAAGGAAAGGGGUUACGAGGAAAAGGAAUCGGAAUUUCAAAAAGAGAUAAUAAACAACGAAUAUAAAAACCUGUCAAAAAUGUAUAAAAUAUUGUUAGAGUGGAACACGAAGGAUGAGGAAGUAAAAUCUGUCAUGAUACAAUGGGCAAGGGAUUUCGGCUAUAACAUUCAACUAGAGGAUUGGGAAAAGUUAUGGAGAGUGAACAUAAAAUUUACGGCAUGCACGUUACUGAGAGAAAAUGUGAUGAAGAUGCUUUACAGGUGGUAUAUGACACCUGUAAAACUGGCUAAGAUGUAUAAGGCAGAUAACAAAUGCUGGAAAUGUAAACAAAAGGAAGGGACUUUCUAUCAUCAAUGGUGGGAGUGUAAGAAAGUUAAAAGCUUCUGGGAUGAAAUUUACAACGAAAUGAAAAAGAUGUUAAGUUACACUUUUGUAAAAAAGCCAGAAGCCUUUUUAUUAGGCAUUGUGGGAAAGGAUAUCAAAAGGAAGGAUUGCAAACUCUUCCAGUAUGCGGUAACGGCAGCCAGAAUUGUGAUAGCUCAGAAGUGGAAGCAGGAAGAAAUCCCAACGAUAGCAGAGUGGAGAGUAAAACUGACAGAAUACGCUGAGUUGGAUAAAUUAACAGGGAAAAUCAGAUAUACUAAGGAUCAAAAGUUUAUUGAGGACUGGGGGAAAUUUGUGGGUUAUCUGGAGAAUAAAUGUUUUGUAAAUACAACGCUAGUGGGAUUUAAAGAGGCACUGUAAAGAAUUAAUAAGUAUUGUUUAAUAGAAAUAAUGUAUGAAGGAAGGAACGAAUGGCAAUAUGAAAGAAUGGAAUGUGUUUUAAAGAUAUAAAUACGAAUGAAUGUCAAUGACGCUGAAGGAAGUUCAAAAUGUAUGAGAUAUAUUGAAAUAUGGAUAUACUGUUUAAAAAAUGGGAAAUCAAUAAAAUUUUUGAAAU